rnacentral:lncRNA from 1 species
UUUUAUUAUUUUCUAGAUUGUAGCCGGGCCUUUUACCAGAGGACCAGACGAUGUGCAGUAAUGAAAAAAGGAGACCAUCCAUUAUUUGGAUUUCCAGAUUAUAACGGACCACAGAACUUUCCCGAAGAAUGGCCACAACUUAAAGAAACUGUGAGGAUAGUGUCACGAUCUACAGUUGUACCUUUACUGACAUACAAGACAUUUACAAAACUUAUUUCAAUACGGAUGAAGACAACCAUUUCUGGGUUGCUGAAUGUGAUGGGGUAAUUGCAGGAACAAUUGCGAUUGUGAAGAAAGAAAACAUCAAUGACUGUCGAAAGACUAGAAAAAUAGCAUGGCUGAGGCGAAUGGCUGUUAAAAAAAGUUUUCGACGUCUAGGUAUUGCCAGGAAGCUGGUACAAACAACAAUAGAUUUUUGCAAAGAUCACAAGUAUGAUGUAAUUGAAUUAAUUACAACAGAAGUACACAAACCUGCAAGAAAACUGUACCUAAACAUGGGUUUUGUUCAAGUGAAUUUUAAACCAUAUCUGUAUUUGUAUGGUUUGAUAAAAAUCUGGACAUAUGAAUUUGAAUACGCACUUUAAAAACUGCUGCUGCUUUUGUGUCCCAUCUUAUCAGUAAUUUGGAUGUGACAAUGUCAUUCAUCAUCAUCUGGACAUUUUUGACAGGUCCCAUAUUAUGGUGUUCAAGAGAGUCUUCCAUCCUAAGCCGUCACAUUUUUGUUAGGUACAAGCAGAUUUGUAGAAUGUGCCCAGGUGUUUGCUUUUCAGCACCAUAUUCACAUUGGGCAGUCUCUGCAAAACCUAUCCCUUUUUGGGUACUUAAGAUUGAAGCUUAUGUCAAUAAACAUAAUCAAAUGCAGUAAAGUUUCUAAAAUUAAAGCUCGCUCCAACAAUUGAUUUUCUUGACUCUCGUGUCAGAAAAAACACCUAUGGUACUAAAGGACUUGUGCGAGAAACUAUUAUUCUGUUUUAACCUGUUAUUCCAGGACUAGCUCUGGGUGAGCAGAACAUUUUGCUGAAUUGUCAUUUAAACUUUAACAACUUUAGUAACCUAGUUCUUUUCUAAGAAAUUAUCUAUCAUAACACAAAAUUAUUUUACUAAAUUGAAAUAAAAUUCACCAAUUGUUUUUAAAUUUCACAACUGGCAGAGGUAGCCCUGCAUUCUUGGCAAGUUUUUUUUUUUUUACAUAGCUUGCAUCAAAUGGUGCUAUUAGCAUGCUAUAUGCCAAGAUACAUGGUCAUGCCAAACCCAAAAAUCACACUGAGAUGCACAAAUGUUUACACUGUUAUAACCUUGCUAUUGAAACUUAAAUUAUCACAUAUUUGAUCAAAUAUAAAAUAUUACACACCAUUGGCUCUCCUAUAAUUGUUUUACCAUGUCCUGACCCACUAGGGUCUGGAUGUUAGAGGGACUAAUUUUCCUCACAGCCGAGUUCACGAAGUGCCUAAUUAACAUCAAGACUAGUUUUCGUAAUGAGCAAAAUCAAGGUGAGCUGAAAAUCACAUGAAUUUUCAAAAUAUAUUUACAAUUUUUUUUUUUGCAAAGUAAUAAACUUGCCACUUUCCUAAAACUUUUCAGGGGAUUGUGGAGACAGCAUGAGUGACCACUCUCCUUUUCUGGUGAAGACAAACUCUGGCUCAGGAUAUGACAUCUUCCUCAACUUAUUAGUGUGCAAGAGGGGUGUGGAAUCUAGCCAAUCAGUAGAGUUCUUGCCGAAAUUGUAGGAUCAAACCUUAAUAGACCCACAAAGUUUUAUCUCAAUCCCAACCAGUUCCAUAGAACUGCUAUAUAUCAAAUGCUGUAAAAAAAAUGAAGAGUCAGAAUUAUCAAAUAUUUGCUGUCCAAUAGAUGAUUAUUAAUCCAUGUUAAAGUUUUUGUUUAACGACAUCACUAGAGCACAUUGAUUUAUUAAUAAUCGGCUAUUGGAUGUCGCUCGAGUGCUUGCAUCGAACCACCUCAGGCUCUGUGGAUCCAUUCAAGUGAUUGG